rnacentral:misc_RNA from 1 species
GUCUUAUUGAUAAUAAUUUUAAGUCUAAUCUGCCCAGUGAUUUAUUAAAUGGCUGCAGUAUUCUAACUGUACAAAGGUAGCAUAAUAAUUAGUUUCUUAAUUAGGAACUGGAAUGAAAGAUUGAACGAGACAAUUACUGUCUUAAUAUAAAUUUAAGAAUUUUAUUUUUAAGUUAAAAAGCUUAAAUUUUUUUAAAAGACGAGAAGACCCUAUAGAAUUUUAUAUUAUUUUUAUAUUUAGAUUAUAGUAUUAGAAUUUUAAAUUUUAUAAAGAUUAUUUAGUUGGGGUGAUUGAAAAAUUUGUUUAACUUUUUUUUAUAUAUUACAUUUAUUUAUGAUUUAUUGAUCCAAUAUUUUUGAUUAUAAGAUUAAAUUACCUUAGGGAUAACAGCGUAAUUUUUUUAGAGAGUUCUUAUCGAUAAAAAAGAUUGCGACCUCGAUGUUGGAUUAAAGUUAAUUUUUGAUGCAGAAGUUAAAAUAUUAGGUCUGUUCGACCUUUAAAACUUUACAUGAUCUGAGUUUAAAUCGGCGUGAGCCAGGUUGGAUUCUAUCUUUAAAUAGUUAUUAUAUUUUAGUACGAAAGGACCAAAUAUUAUUUAUAUUAAAUUUAAGAGAAUAUUAUUAUUAUUUUGGCAGAUUAGUGCUUUAAAUUUAGAAUUUAAAUAUGUAAGUUUUACAAAUAAUA